GGCCAUAGAAGGUGAUAGCCCUGUAUCUGAAAGGGCCAUUUCAGUGAAGACGAGUAGGGCGGGGCACGUGAAACCCUGUCUGAACAUGGGGGGACCAUCCUCCAAGGCUAAAUACUACUGACCGACCGAUAGUGAACCAGUACCGUGAGGGAAAGGCGAAAAGAACCCCGGAGAGGGGAGUGAAAUAGAACCUGAAACCGUGUGCGUACAAGCAGUAGGAGCUCCGCAAGGAGUGACUGCGUACCUUUUGUAUAAUGGGUCAGCGACUUACUGUUCGUGGCAAGCUUAACCGUAUAGGGGAGGCGAAGGGAAACCGAGUCUGAUAAGGGCGCAUAGUCGCGGGCAGUAGACCCGAAACCGGGUGAUCUAGUCAUGCCCAGGGUGAAGGUGCGGUAACACGCACUGGAGGCCCGAACCCACUCCCGUUGCAAAGGUAGGGGAUGAGGUGUGAUUAGGAGUGAAAAGCUAAUCGAACCCGGAGAUAGCUGGUUCUCCUCGAAAGCUAUUUAGGUAGCGCCUCAUAUGUAUCCUCUCGGGGGUAGAGCACUGUUAUGGCUAGGGGGUCAUCGCGACUUACCAAACCAUUGCAAACUCCGAAUACCGAGACGGACUGUAUGGGAGACACACGGCGGGUGCUAACGUCCGUCGUGAAAAGGGAAACAACCCAGACCCACAGCUAAGGUCCCAAAUUUUGUGCUAAGUGGAAAACCAUGUGGAAAGGCACAGACAGCCAGGAGGUUGGCUUAGAAGCAGCCACCCUUUAAAGAAAGCGUAAUAGCUCACUGGUCGAGUCGGUCUGCGGGGAAGAUUUAACGGGGCUAAGCACAGAACCGAAGCUUGGGGUGCAUAACUUUGUUAUGCGCGGUAGAGGAGCGUUCCGUAAGCCGUUGAAGGUGGAUUGAGAAGUCUGCUGGAGGUAUCGGAAGUGCGAAUGCUGACAUGAGUAACGAUAAUGCGGGUGAAAAACCCGCACGCCGAAAGCCCAAGGUUUCCUUGCGCAACGUUAAUCGGCGCAGGGUGAGUCGGCCCCUAAGGCGAGGACGAAAGUCGUAGUCGAUGGGAAGCAGGUUAAUAUUCCUGCACCUCGCGUAAGUGCGAUGGAGGGACG
rnacentral:rRNA from 1 species